AUGGACCUAAUACUUCCAGUUAAAGUUGGAGAUGCUAUAGAGACAAGAUCCUUUGAUCGUGGUUAUAGGGGCGCAUGGUUCCGUGGCAAGCUCACCGACAUGUGUAUCAGGGACGGUCACCUGGAGUGUCAAGUGGAGUAUAUAGACUAUCCAGAUGAAAAAAGGAGAUGGAAUAGACUCUACAAAGUUCCCCCAAAAUGUCGUAAUCAGAAAGCAGGUCAAAAUAGGGAGAUCAUGUUACGACCUCCUUUUCCUCAAUGGUGUUGGGAGAAUGAUAUUCCUGAGCAUUGGCCACAGAUGGAUGUUGUAGCAGUUGUAAGCAGUCCUUGGAAAGUAGGUGACUUGAUUGACUGGUGGUACAAAGAUUGUUUCUGGACUGGCAAAAUUAUCGAGUUGCUGGGUGAAGACAAAGUUAAGAUAAUUUGUCCUGAGAAACCAAUAGGUGAAGGUGGAUGUUGGGCUGCCGAUACAAAGGACCUUAGGCCAGCGCUUGAUUGGCCCCUCUUAAAAGGUUGGACCGCCCCUCUUUCACAGGCUUUCUAA
rnacentral:rRNA from 1 species